rnacentral:tRNA from 1 species
GGGGAUCUAGCUCAAAUGGUAGAGCACUCGCUUAGCAUGCGAGGGGCACAGGGAUCGAUACCCUGGUUCUCCA